UACAGAGGGGGCAAGCGUUGUUCGGAAUUACUGGGCGUAAAGGGCGCGUAGGCGGCCUGUUAAGUCGAACGUGAAAUCCCUGGGCUCAACCCAGGAACUGCGUCCGAUACUGGCAGGCUUGAAUCCGGGAGAGGGAUGCGGAAUUCCAGGUGUAGCGGUGAAAUGCGUAGAUAUCUGGAGGAACACCGGUGGCGAAGGCGGCAUCCUGGACCGGUAUUGACGCUGAGGAGCGAAAGCCAGGGGAGCAAACGGG
rnacentral:rRNA from 1 species